CAGUAGCCACGGUAAUACGGAGGGUGCAAGCGUUAAUCGGAAUUACUGGGCGUAAAGCGCACGCAGGCGGUCUGACAAGUCAGAUGUGAAAUCCCCGGGCUUAACCUGGGAACUGCAUUUGAAACUGUCAGGCUAGAGUAUUGUAGAGGGGGGUGGAAUUCCAGGUGUAGCGGUGAAAUGCGUAGAGAUCUGGAGGAAUACCGAUGGCGAAGGCGGCCCCCUGGACAAAGACUGACGCUCAGGUGCGAAAGCGUGGGGAGCAAACAGGAUUAGAUACCCGCGUAGUCCCUGUCUCUUAUAC
rnacentral:rRNA from 1 species